rnacentral:misc_RNA from 1 species
CCAUCCCUUCUUGUUCAGAAACUUUAACGCCAUCUUUCACACCUUUUUAUACACUCUCACAUUCUCUCAAGUAUUGCUUCUCUAAGAAUUCUUGAAUGUCAGUCUCUUCUUGUGAAAUGUCAGCCUUAGCUCCCCUAGGUUUUUAUAGUGAGGCUUCAAACUGGUGCCAGCAACCAACUAUUGCCUUUCAAAUUAUGAAGUGUUUUUAUAAUAGAAAAGCUGAAGACAAUCAUUCCUCUUUCGCCUUAACAAAUUGCACCAUUAAAAGCUCUGGUUUAUAAGACACUUUCCCCCAAAACCCUUCUCCGCCUUUUAGAAAAUCUUCUGCUCUCGUCUUCUAAUGUUCUCUGUAGCGAAUAAAUCUACAGUAAUAAAGCAACAAUUCCUAAGAUCACAAGAGGGCGUGAAAGGGAAAAUAUACUAGAUGAAGACCGAGACCGCCUCCAUUUGUGUGUUGCGCUUUGUAAUUACAGGGAGCACUAUUCAAUUUGGAUCGAUCGAACGUUAGGCAUUUCAAUGCUUUUACAAGCUUGUUCCACUGUAAAAGGUUGCCAAAGAUGCAUUUAUGGAUGCAUUAAGACACACUACAAAAGCUUUAGAAUUUGUCUGGCGCAUCCAUAAAGCAUAGCAAGGCACUCUAGCGUUGGCACUGCAUGGAAUUCAGGCAUCCUUCUCUGAAAAAAGAUAAAAAUGUCAUUCAUGAGAUGAUGACUACAUUUAUCCUUGAUAAGAAAGCCUAAAGUUAGGGGGGUGGGUUUGAGAUCCAACUAGAACCAAGUAACCCAUUCCUUACAUGUCCAGCAACCGAGUGGGCACAAGCAUUCAUCCUUCUGGGAAUAUAAGACAAUGACCAGCCAGAAAAAGAAAACUAAAUACACUUAAUAUCACGAACAACAGUCUCUAACUCCCAAGGAAUGAGAAUUAGAGGAGAAUUCAUGCAAGAGAUCAACCGGAGGUGAUGAACCUUGAAAAUGUUGCUUCACUCGUAUGGUCUCACUUUUAUUAUUUUAGCCAUAAGGGACUUGCAAGCGAAGAAAAUGGAUUAAAGGUCCACCAGAGCUGUCAUAAUGAUAACUAUUCGAUGCUCAAGUUAGAGGGACA